rnacentral:lncRNA from 1 species
CCUGAAUGAAAGAGACAUUGAUGUUGCAAAGUAUUGAUGCCUUCAGAAAGAUGCAGUUAAAGAGCAUUUUUAUUUACUCUACAAUGUCAGCCUCUGUGCCGAGUGAGUGCCCGCAAAUGAAGUAAUCAUUUACUAAUGAAUCCAGUGCAGAAAUAACCAGGUUCUGCAUGAAUUUCCACCUCAAAGACUUGGGGAUGAACUGUGUUAUCUCCACUGAAGUAGCACUGAGAAAAUGGGAGGUUUGUUUAUAUGUAGCUCAUUGGUAAUGACCUGGAUUUCCUAAAGCUUUGCCACAUGUUCUGGUUAAGGCUUUUGUUUUGGUCGUCUUCUGUGCCUGUUACCUGAUUCCCACUGCUUCACUUCUCUUGCAAAUAGGCGAUAGUCAGCGCUGAUUCCAGUCUUAAUUGAGGCAUUCCCAGAAAAGAGGAGGGUGCAACGGAGGUCCUGGGUCCCAGUGUGAGGCAUGAUACAAAGAUGCAAGGCCCAGCAGAAGACAACUCAGGUUUGUUAUGAAUUGAGGAUAAAUAUCACUGAUAAAAUGGAGGUCAACAACUUAGCAGCAUCUUGUGGAAAAGGUUUGGAGGAGCCUUUGAAACAUCUGCUGACAAACUCUGAUGAGAAGGCAGUAAUGUGCUUGAAACAAACUUGA